rnacentral:lncRNA from 1 species
CUGAGUUUCAUACCCAGUCGAAGAUUUAGCAAAGGUAACUAUUUCACAUUUUUCAAAAACUCGAUUUGACCAAGCGCUUCUAUAUAUUUGAUGUGCAGAUACAGAAUUCGAAGUUUGUAUAUAUUUCAUUUUAUUGUCUCUUACUUAAUAAUUUAUGAAUUGACCGAUGGUUUUUUUCCCAUUUUAGAUAAAAAAAAACAAA